AGUGAUGACCAGUGAGGCCAGAACAGAA
rnacentral:piRNA from 1 species